UCUAUUUUGAGAAUGAUUUGGCAACGAUACAAUGUCAUUUCACCAUGGAAGAUUCUUUUAGUCUAUUACUUUCCUCUCUUUCUGAGAUGUUGACGACAAUUCUCCGAGCAUCCAAUCCCCUUCCGGUCCACUUCUCAAACCACAUUUAGAACUCGAAAAGGGGGAAUACUAGCUAGAAAUUGCUCAAAUUUCCAUCAUACAAAUUGAUGAGGAUUGCAUGUAACAAUUAAAUCAAAUGGUGCUGUGAUAAAUUGCGUAGCAUCUAUUUGCACUGUGAAGCCGAGGAAACAUCUUUGCUCGAAAUGAAAUUUAAGUGAGUUUAGCAAGGAUGAGGUGGUUUAGAGUAAUGCACAAGUCCACUAUUGAAUGUGAAGCUCUAACAGAAUUCAAAGGAUUUUGACAACAGCAUGAUCAGUCAGUUUGCUCUAUUUUGAGAGUGAUUUGGGAACGAUACAAUGUCAUUUUCUGUUGGAAGGCUUUUUCAGCUUUUAGCUGAAGUUUACAAUUGAUGGUCAUAUACCGCUCAAAUUGCGUCUUGAAAUUGAGUAAAUGGAGGAGUGGCCAGUGAUUGCUCAAUCCCCCCACUGUAUUAUCAAGGCAUCGGUAACAGGAUUUAUCAGCUCUUUGAUUGGUGAAAAAACUGAAACGAUAUAAGGCUUACAUCUUCUAAGAAGGAGGUUGAUUAGAAUGAUGUGAUGCCUGAAGUUUCAGCUAAAACCACGUCUAGAAUUUGACAAGGGGGAUUACUGGACUAAAACUGCUCAUAUUUCCACCAUAAGAGUCGAUGGGAAAUAGCGAAGGUGCUCUAACUGAUCUAAGGUAAUUCUGUUUUUUCUUUCCUUUGUUUGUUGAUUCUUUCCCUUUGUGAAAUAUUGUUGAGCAGUGUGUAGCGUCUAUUGCCACUAUGAAGCCGAGGAAGUAUCUUCAUAUCAGGAUGAAAGAUGA